CACACGUGCAUCCCACCGUGAUGAGUUUCUUCUCCAGGCGGUAGGUGGGCGGGCAGCCCUGCUGCUCCCGGCGGAGGACGAGGAUCUCCUGUUUGAUGGGGACGGAGUUGAGGCUGCGGUCCUCCUGCCCCAGAAUAACUCCUUGACAAAGACUGGCAAUUAGAAACCAUUCCCAUGAUGUCCCAUUGCAUUGCAGUUUAUUUUGGAGAAACACCACCCAGCACCAAAAUGAAUGUGUGUGUCAAGAGGAGCUUGUGAUAUUCACAAGACUCCAGGCAUAUACUAAGAACAAGCCAUUUUUUACCACAAAAGACAGCUGUGUAGCACAGCUGUUGCAUUUUAGAUACCAUCUAAGGAGUUACCUGUAAUCCCAAGGAGCGAGAGACCGGUUCCUCACAUCAUGGAUUAUCUUAAAGGCAGAAUCUGAACGGCUGAUGCGAACGUCAACUUUCACCGUUGUGGGGAAUUUGGGAUCCUUCUGGCAGUCUCCAUUAAGUCUCUCAGAGCCACCGUUGCUGGGUUGAGGAUGAGCUACCCUCCUGUGGGGUGAGCUCCUUACGGUGAGUGCUAGAACCAGCACCAAAAGGAGUGACCUGAACUGGAGAAGAAACAAGUAUCAUAGUCUCUGCUCAGCUGGGAGAGAGCACGAGGAGCCAUGGCUUGACUAGACUGGGCAAUAAACAGGCAGUGGGUGAUCUUCAUACUUUCAUUUGGGUGAGCAUGAAAAAGUAGUGCAAGUAUGUGAACAAUACUCAUCGUAACAGAGGCUAAAUUCUGAUUCAAAUGCUGACUGCAGCUGGCACUGCACCAGUAAGAGCAUCUCUCCAAUGAGUUAUGAAACAUUCUCCUCCUCCAGAGUCAAACAGCGAUGUCUUUUGGUCUACAAGGGGGGGUAAGGACUCACCUGACCCCAUCCUUAAGUUUAGACCUCCAGGUAAGCCUUAUGCUUUCCUAGGCCAGGAAAAGUUGCCCACCUAGAAGCCACUUGCUAGAAAUAACACUUUUUUUCAAAGAAAUUUGAUAUUCGCAGUCCAUUUCCAGGAGCAAGGAAAAAUAAUAAUAAAAAUAAAUAAAUGCAAAGUUUUUAAGAAUAUCAAAAGAGUUGACAGUACUGCAAAUACUACCCAAGCUGGAGUUUAAAUACAAAGACAUUCACUUCACUGUACCUCCUCCUUUUCUCAACUUUCAGUAAUUUUUAUAGCAAGUUCUCUAAGAGAAGGCCUGUCUCUCCCAGUCACAUAUGAGCAGUGAUGCCCUUACAGAUAAAUAACAGCCCGCUGCCUCUCCAGCCAACUUGCUCACAUCUUGGACACAGCUUGCCUCGGCAGUCAAGAAACAAAUCUACUUGCAAAAGCUCGGGUAUGAAAGCUUUAUCAGACACCUCGCAACCCAUUUAGCUCUCACAAAGACCGACAAGAGUUGCUCCUACAUCAUGGGAUCUACAUUCAGUUUUUGUCUUGCAGCUAGUAGGAUAUCUGAGCACUUACACCAGAUAUAAGGACUUACCAUUGCAGCAUAGCUGGCAAAAGCCAUUGCAACCUCUCUUCUGCUGUAGGCAAGCGCACACAGAGCGUGCAAGUUCUUCUCCGAGACCUCUUUCAGCCUCCGUAUGCCUCAAAGCCAGCCGUGGUGCCCUUUUUAUAGCACAGUUCAGCCACUACCACCUUUUCCAUUGCAUAAAGCUAGCUUACCUGACUCAAGGUUAGGAGUUGGUAUUUAAUUUAUCUAGCCCACUUCCUUCCGUCUACCCCCAGAAAUGGGAGGGCAGAUACCACGUCAUCAGGAUCCCAAGUCAGCUAACACAGUUUGUUCAGACAGAUAAAGCGAUACGGGAAAAAAAGAGAGAAGCAAAAAAAAAAAAAAAAAAAAAAAAAAAGAUCAGACAGCUUUUUUUUCCCUUCCCCGCUUUCUAAUAUUAAUGUUCUCUCACCACAAACUCAUCUGAGGACAGGUCCACGUGCCUCACACAGAUCAAAUGGCAGAGAUCAGAAAGCUGCAAA